GAUGAACGCUGGCGGCGUGCCUAAUACAUGCAAGUCGAGCGAACAGAUGAGGAGCUUGCUCCUCUGACGUUAGCGGCGGACGGGUGAGUAACACGUGGAUAACCUACCUAUAAGACUGGGAUAACUUCGGGAAACCGGAGCUAAUACCGGAUAAUAUAUUGAACCGCAUGGUUCAAUAGUGAAAGACGGUUUUGCUGGCAGUUAUAGAUGGAUCCGCGCCGCAUUAGCUAGUUGGGAAGGUAACGGCUUACCAAGGCAACGAUGCGUAGCCGGCCGGCGAGUGUGACCGGCCACAUGGGGCCUGAGGUACGGCCCAGACGCCUACGGGAGGCAUCAGUGGGGAAUAUUGCACAAUGGGCGGAAGCCUGAUGCAGCAACGCCGCGUGCGGGAUGACGGCCUUCGGGUUGCAAACCGCGUUCGCCUGUGACGAAGCGUGAGUGACGGUAAUUGAUAAGGAAGCACCGGCUAACUACGUG
rnacentral:rRNA from 1 species